UGAAACACCAGUUCUCGUAUGGUCACUGAAGUUAAGCAAUGUUGAGCCUGGUCAGUACAUUGAUGAGUCACUUCGUGGGAAAAAUCAGGAGCUGUUA